CCUGGUGACUAUGCCGGAGGGGAAACGCCCGUUCCCAUUCCGAACACGGAAGCUAAGCCCUCCAGGGCCGAUGGUACUGCCGGGGCAACCCGGUGGGAGAGUAGGUCGUCGCCAGGA
rnacentral:rRNA from 1 species